rnacentral:ncRNA from 1 species
UUCUUCAGGGCAGGGUGAAAAUCCCGACCGGCGGUACAGUCCGCGAGCCCCUUCGGGGCAUGAACCGGUGAAACUCCGGUACCGACAGUAUAGUCUGGAUGGAAGAGGAA